rnacentral:rRNA from 1 species
UGGGGAAUAUUGCGCAAUGGGCGAAAGCCUGACGCAGCGACGCCUCGUGAGGGAUGAAGGUCUUCGGAUCGUAAACCUCUGUCAAGAGGGAAGAAACCAUUGAAGUCGAACAGGCUUCUUUGCUGACGGUACCUCUAAAGGAAGCACCGGCUAACUCCGUGCCAGCAGCCGCGGUAAUACGGAGGGUGCAAGCGUUAAUCGGAAUCACUGGGCGUAGAGCGCUCGUAGGCGGCUUGGUCAGUCAGAUGUGAAAGCCCUCGGCUUAACCGGGGAACUGCAUUUGAUACUGCCAGGCCUGAGUGUCGGAGAGGGUGGCGGAAUUCCAGGUGUAGGAGUGAAUUCCGUAGAUAUCUGGAGGGACACCAGUGGCGAAGGCGGCCACCUGGACGACAACUGACGCUGAGGAGCGAAAGCGUGGGUAGCAAACA